rnacentral:lncRNA from 1 species
CUUUUAAAUAUGCUGCGAAGUGACAUUAGAUUUUCGUAUGGGGUGGAUGGAUGCCCAGGGAAAGGCAGGCUGGCAGCGGGGAGGGAGGGGACAGCGGCGCACAGACAGAUCCGCUACAGAAAUAAAAUUUGUCACAGACAGUUAGAUCACACACAGAUGUGUGUUGUCCGAGUGUCAGUGUAUGAGUGUGUGGGGAUACAGACAGUUGCAGAGAGUAUCCCCCCAUGACUCUGCCUGCGCCUCUGUUGUGCUGCUGUUGAUGUUUUGAUUGAUAGUCGUCUCAGUGCCUCAGCUGGUCCAAGGUGGCAGCAGCAGUCCAGCUCCUGGCAACAGCAGCAACAACAACAGCGCCAGUGGCAGACAACCUUCCAGAGUGGUAGAACAGGUCUAGACCAAAACG